rnacentral:misc_RNA from 1 species
AAGUCGUAACAAGGUUUCCGUAGGUGAACCUGCGGAAGGAUCAUUAACACAUCCCUUUCUAUUAUAUACUUUGGCGCACCUGUCUUAAAUGAGCCUUUACUGUUGUAAGUCCGGAUUUGGCAAUGGUUUGGAUUCUCUUGCUUCGGCGAGGGAUUGGCCUGCCGGAUAGCACUGAUCGAGGUGCACCUUACACAGUCUUGGUAUUCAGUCCCUAACCAUGACUGAGCCCUUUUUCUUUUUUUAACCAAUUGAUUUUUUGAAUUGAAUUGGUUCGGAUUGAGAAGAGCCCUUUAUCGGGUUUGCCUCUCUGAGCCUUUAAUGGAGAAAUCCAUUAAAAAUCAAAUAAAACACAACUCUUAACAGCGGAUAUCUCGGUUCUC